AUGGAAGUGAUGAUUCUUUCCCCAGCUGCUCGACUUUGAUGAUACUAAGCUAUCUUUUCUCUAUUGAGAAUCCAAGCCAGAAAUCUGAUCCAU